rnacentral:rRNA from 1 species
CGAUGCCUCCCAAUCAGACCGACCCGCGAAUUCGUUCAUCUAUCACGUAAGCGCCCAAGCAAGCGGACGGCGGCGAGGAUCGUUCUUCGUGCGGGGCGUCUCGCCCCCGCGACCAACCCCUCCCGUUGGCCGCCCUUGUGUGUGCCAAACACAAACCCCGGCGCUUCGCGCGCCAAGGAAAUCAAAUCUGUCAAGUGCGACUCCCGGGGGCCCGGAGACGGUGUCCCCCGGGCGUCGUCGCUGCACAUUACUAUAUUACAAUGACUCUCGGCAACGGAUAUCUCGGCUCUUGCAUCGAUGAAGAACGUAGCGAAAUGCGAUACUUGGUGUGAAUUGCAGAAUCCCGUGAACCAUCGAGUCUUUGAACGCAAGUUGCGCCCGAAGCCAUUAGGCCGAGGGCACGCCUGCCUGGGUGUCACACAUCGUUACCCAAACGCAAAUUAUUGCCUCGGGUGCAUGCUGACCUCCCGCGAGCACCGUUUCGUGGUUGGUUGAAAAUCGAGUCCGUGGCCGAGUUCGCCGUGACAAAAUGGUGGAUGAGUUCGUCACAGACGACGCUCGAGACCAGUCACGCGUGACUCCGUCGUUCCCGGACUCCUCGACCCUGUGCGUGCGUCUCUACCCGACGACGCAGGCUAUCAAC